rnacentral:misc_RNA from 1 species
UUUUGACCAGCAAGACUGGGAGGAUAGAAUUAUUUGGGAUAAUUCUCCUCCAUUGAGUGAUAAUACUGCUGAGAGUUGUGAGAUUUCUGAACCUGAUUAUGAAGCAUUGACUGAUAAACAACUGGAUGUGGAGGCCGAGUCUCAAAGUUUACAGUCAGAAAAAGAAAUUGAACCCCAUGAAAAAGGUCACAGCUCCUUUUUUUCUUGCAGUGUUUCUGUGGAGCCUUUUGGUUCAAAACAACCUUCAGGACACCUGGAUUUUUCAUUAUCAGAAGGAAGA